rnacentral:rRNA from 1 species
CCUACGGGGGGCUGCAGUGGGGAAUAUUGGACAAUGGGGGGAACCCUGAUCCAGCCAUGCCGCAUGUGUGAAGAAGGCCCUCGGGUUGUAAAGCACUUUCAGUGAGGAAGAACGCCUGGUGGUUAAUACCCAUCAGGAAAGACAUCACUCACAGAAGAAGCACCGGCUAACUCCGUGCCAGCAGCCGCGGUAAUACGGAGGGUGCGAGCGUUAAUCGGAAUUACUGGGCGUAAAGCGCGCGUAGGUGGCUUGAUAAGCCGGUUGUGAAAGCCCCGGGCUCAACCUGGGAACGGCAUCCGGAACUGUCAAGCUAGAGUGCAGGAGAGGAAGGUAGAAUUCCCGGUGUAGCGGUGAAAUGCGUAGAGAUCGGGAGGAAUACCAGUGGCGAAGGCGGCCUUCUGGACUGACACUGACACUGAGGUGCGAAAGCGUGGGUAGCAAACAGGAUUAGAUACCCCAGUAGUC